AAAAGUUCAGGUGAUUUUUAGCAUAUUUUAGCAAUAAAGUAUUUUUAAAUUAAGGUAUAUACAUUGGUUUUUUGUUAGUCACAAUGCUAUUGCACUCUUAGUAGACAACAGUGUAGUGUUAAGCAUAACUUUUGUAUGUACUAGGAGAUCAGAAAAUUCAUGUGGCUCGCUUUAUUGUAGCCAUUAUUAGACCUGCAACAAGAUCCUAUUAUUGAGUGAAUACAGAAGCACAUUUGUCAUAAUUUUGCUUUUGAACCGUUUGAUUUGAGAUGGAGUCUAACUCACCCUGUCACCCAGGCGGAAGUGCAGUGGUGCCAUCUCGGCUCACUGCAAUCUCUGCCUCCCAGGUUCAAAUAAUUCUCCUGCCUCAGCCUCCCAAGUAGCUAUAGCUGGGAUUACAGGCGUGUACUACCACACUUGGCUAAUUUUUGUAUUUUUAGUAGACAUGUUGUUUCACCAUGUAGGCCAGGCUGGUCUUGAUCCUGACCUCAAAUGAUCUGCUCACCUCAGCCUUCCAAAGUGCUGGGAUUACAGGAAUGAGCCAGUGUGCCUGGCCAGAGUCUCAGUUUUAUAUAUAGUUAUUGGCAUGCUAUAUUGUGUCUUCAAAUAAAAUUAUAUAUAUAUAUAAAAUAUGAAAU
rnacentral:lncRNA from 1 species